GAUGAACGCUGGCGGCGUGCCUAAUACAUGCAAGUCGAGCGGACAGACGAGGAGCUUGCUCCUUUGACGUUAGCGGCGGACGGGUGAGUAACACGUGGGUAACCUACCUAUAAGACUGGGAUAACUUCGGGAAACCGGAGCUAAUACCGGAUAAUAUUUCGAACCGCAUGGUUCGAUAGUGAAAGAUGGCUCUGCUAUCACUUAUAGAUGGACCUGCGCCGUAUUAGCUAGUUGGUAAGGUAACGGCUUACCAAGGCAACGAUACGUAGCCGACCUGAGAGGGUGAUCGGCCACACUGGAACUGAGACACGGUCCAGACUCCUACGGGAGGCAGCAGUAGGGAAUCUUCCGCAAUGGGCGAAAGCCUGACGGAGCAACGCCGCGUGAGUGAUGAAGGUCUUCGGAUCGUAAAACUCUGUUAUUAGGGAAGAACAAACGUGUAAGUAACUGUGCACGUCUUGACGGUACCUAAUCAGAAAGCCACGGCUAACUACGUG
rnacentral:rRNA from 1 species